CAACCCUCGACCUCCCCUUGGGGAGGUCGGCGUUGGGGACCGGCAGCACCACCGCCGGCCCUGAAAUGGAGUGGCGGCCCGUCCGCGGCGACCUCUGCGUAGUAAUACAGCUCGCACCGGAACCCCGACGCGGCCACGCCGUAAAACACCCAACUUCUGAA
rnacentral:misc_RNA from 1 species